UACGUAGGGGGCAAGCGUUGUCCGGAUUUAUUGGGCGUAAAGAGCGUGUAGGCGGUCUGGUAGGUCCGUUGUGAAAACUCGAGGCUCAACCUCGAGACGCCGAUGGAAACCAUCAGACUAGAGUCCGGAAGAGGAGAGUGGAAUUCCUGGUGUAGCGGUGAAAUGCGCAGAUAUCAGGAAGAACACCCGUGGCGAAGGCGGCUCUCUAGUAAGGUACUGACGCUGAGACGCGAAAGCGUGGGGAGCGAACAGG
rnacentral:rRNA from 1 species